rnacentral:rRNA from 1 species
UGCGCAGGUGGGGGUGUAAGUCAGUGGUGAAAUGUUGCCGCUUAACGGUAAAAUUGCCAUUGAUACUGCAUCUCUUGAGUAUGGUUGAGGUAGGCGGAAUGUGUUGUGUAGCGGUGAAAUGCAUAGAUAUGACACAGAACACCGAUUGCGAAGGCAGCUUACUAAGCCAUUAUUGACGCUGAGGCACGAAAGCGUGGGGAGCGAACAGGAUUAGAUACCCUGGUAGUCC